rnacentral:rRNA from 1 species
GAUGAACGCUGGCGGCGUGCCUAAUACAUGCAAGUCGAGCGAACAGACGAGGAGCUUGCUCCUCUGACGUUAGCGGCGGACAGGGGAGUAACACGUGGAGAACCUACCUAUAAGACUGGGAUAACUUCGGGAAACCGGAGCUAAUACCGGGUAAUAUAUUGAACCGCAUGGUUCAAUAGUGAAAGACGGUUUUGCUGUCACUUAUAGAUGGAUCCGCGCCGCAUUAGCUAGUUGGUAAGGUAACGGCUUACCAAGGCGACGAUGCGUAGCCGACCUGAGAGGGUGAUCGGCCACACUGGAACUGAGACACGGUCCAGACUCCUACGGGAGGCAGCAGUAGGGAAUCUUCCGCAAUGGGCGAAAGCCUGACGGAGCAACGCCGCGUGAGUGAUGAAGGUCUUCUGAUCGUAAAACUCUGUUAUUAGGGAAGAACAAAUGUGUAAGUAACUAUGCACGUCUUGACGGUACCUAAUCAGAAAGCCACGGCUAACUACGUG